GAUUGCUAAUACCGCAUACGUCGGCCGGCUCUGCGGAGCUGGUCGGGAAAGCAGCCCUCUCCAUGGAAGGUUGCACCGAAGGAUGAGUCCGCGGCCCAUCAGCUAGUUGGUAGGGUAAUGGCCUACCAAGGCUUAGACGGGUAGCUGGUCUGAGAGGAUGAUCAGCCACACUGGAACUGAGACACGGUCCAGACUCCUACGGGAGGCAGCAGUGGGGAAUAUUGGGCAAUGGGCGCAAGCCUGACCCAGCCACGCCGCGUGAGUGAUGAAGGCCUUCGGGUCGUAAAGCUCUGUGGGGAGGGACGAAAAAACGUUGGCUAAUAUCCAACGGACUGACGGUACCUCCUUAGCAAGCACCGGCUAACUCCGUGCCAGCAGCCGCGGUAA
rnacentral:rRNA from 1 species